GUCUCUGUGGCGCAAUUGGUUAGCGCGUUCGGGUGUUAACCGAAAGGUUGCUGGUUCAAGCCCAGCCAGGGACG
rfam:Ciona savignyi cont_34421, whole genome shotgun sequence.